rnacentral:lncRNA from 1 species
UUCUCCAACAACAGAUAUGUCUACUGUAAUGAGACCUGUGUCUCUGGUUGACUCAACUUGCCUUGUUUCUUUGCCUUCACUCUUCACCACUUCUUCCAAGCUUCCAUCUCUUCUCUCACUUCCUUCAAAGCCCAUCAACCUUGUCCUCUUAUCUUCCUCCACUCAGCCAACCUUAUCCUCCCUCAAAACAAAAACCCAUUUCCCUUCCCUCGUUGCCUUUUUGGCCCAGACGUCAGAUUGGGCUCAACAAGAGGAGGAAAACGACACCACCCUAACCAUUGAUGACCAAGGAACUGAAAGUGAAGGAGGGGAAUCAACAU